UACGGAGGGAGCAAGCGUUACUCGGAAUUACUGGGCGUAAAGCGCGUGUAGGCUGCUCCGCAAGUCGGAUGUGAAAGCCCUGGGCUCAACCCAGGAAGUGCAUUCGAAACUGCAGAGCUGGAGUCCUGGAGAGGAAGGCGGAAUUCUCGGUGUAGAGGUGAAAUUCGUAGAUAUCGAGAGGAACACCGGUGGCGAAGGCGACCUUCUGGACAGUGACUGACGCUGAGACGCGAAAGCGUGGGGAGCAAACAGG
rnacentral:rRNA from 1 species